rnacentral:rRNA from 1 species
UACGGAGGGGGCUAGCGUUGUUCGGAAUUACUGGGCGUAAAGCGCGCGUAGGCGGGAUGGCAAGUCGGUCGUGAAAUCCCUCGGCUCAACCGAGGAACGUCGAUCGAUACUGCUGUUCUUGAGGAUUGCAGAGGAGACUGGAAUUCCCGGUGUAGCGGUGAAAUGCGUAGAGAUCGGGAGGAAGGCCGGUGGCGAAGGCGGCGCUCUGGAACAUUUCUGACGCUGAGGCUCGAAAGCGUGGGGAGCAAACAGG